AACUCUUAGCGGUGGAUCACUCGGCUCGUGCGUUGAAGAACGCAGCUACCUGCGAGAAUUAAUGUGAAUUGCAGGACACAUUGAUCAUCGACACUUCGAAUGGACUUGCAGCCCCGGGUUCCUCCCGGGGCUUCGCCUAUCUGAGCGUCG
rnacentral:rRNA from 1 species